GCGAUGAACCAUGCCGCCGCGCCGCUUAAAACAGUUCUUUUAGGCGGUGAGGAAAGUCCGGGCUCCGCAGGGCAUGAUGCCGGGUAAUUCCCGGGCGGAGGAUGGCCUUAGGGUAUCUUCCGACAGAAAGCGCAACAGAAAAUAAACCGCUUGAGCGGGGGCGGGAAGCAGUUCCCCUUCUUCUCAAGUAAGGGUGAAAAGGCGGGGUAAGAGCCCGCCAUGGAAUUGGCGACAAUUUCAUCAAUACAGGCUUUGGGUCAACCGGGGCCGGUAUACGGCAAGCCUCAUCAGGAGUAAAGUCAAGCAGCGGCAGGGUUUUUAACCCGGAAACGGCCCGUUUUUGCCGCGGGUAGACUGCAGGGAUCUUGUCCGUAAGGGCAAGGCUAGAUAGAUGGCGGCUGCCGUUAUUUCCCUGGGAAAUAACGGCUUUACAGAACCCGGCUUAUGGUUCAUCGCUUUU
rnacentral:RNase_P_RNA from 1 species